GGGGGUGUAGCUCAGUGGUAGAGCACUUGCCUACCAUGCACAAAACCCUGGGUUCAAUCCUCAGCACUGCAG
rfam:Cavia porcellus supercont2_82 genomic scaffold, whole genome shotgun sequence.